rnacentral:rRNA from 1 species
AGAGUUUGAUCCUGGCUCAGGAUGAACGCUGGCGGCGUGCCUAAUACAUGCAAGUCGAGCGAACGGACGAGAAGCUUGCUUCUCUGAUGUUAGCGGCGGACGGGUGAGUAACACGUGGAUAACCUACCUAUAAGACUGGGAUAACUUCGGGAAACCGGAGCUAAUACCGGAUAAUAUUUUGAACCGCAUGGUUCAAAAGUGAAAGACGGUCUUGCUGUCACUUAUAGAUGGAUCCGCGCUGCAUUAGCUAGUUGGUAAGGUAACGGCUUACCAAGGCAACGAUGCAUAGCCGACCUGAGAGGGGGAUCGGCCACACUGGAACUGAGACACGGUCCAGACUCCUACGGGAGGCAGCAGUAGGGAAUCUUCCGCAAUGGGCGAAAGCCUGACGGAGCAACGCCGCGUGAGUGAUGAAGGUCUUCGGAUCGUAAAACUCUGUUAUUAGGGAAGAACAUAUGUGUAAGUAACUGUGCACAUCUUGACGGUACCUAAUCAGAAAGCCACGGCUAACUACGUGCCAGCAGCCGCGGUAAUACGUAGGUGGCAAGCGUUAUCCGGAAUUAUUGGGCGUAAAGCGCGCGUAGGCGGUUUUUUAAGUCUGAUGUGAAAGCCCACGGCUCAACCGUGGAGGGUCAUUGGAAACUGGAAAACUUGAGUGCAGAAGAGGAAAGUGGAAUUCCAUGUGUAGCGGUGAAAUGCGCAGAGAUAUGGAGGAACACCAGUGGCGAAGGCGACUUUCUGGUCUGUAACUGACGCUGAUGUGCGAAAGCGUGGGGAUCAAACAGGAUUAGAUACCCUGGUAGUCCACGCCGUAAACGAUGAGUGCUAAGUGUUAGGGGGUUUCCGCCCCUUAGUGCUGCAGCUAACGCAUUAAGCACUCCGCCUGGGGAGUACGACCGCAAGGUUGAAACUCAAAGGAAUUGACGGGGACCCGCACAAGCGGUGGAGCAUGUGGUUUAAUUCGAAGCAACGCGAAGAACCUUACCAAAUCUUGA